rnacentral:sRNA from 1 species
CUGUUGCUGUUGCUGCUGCUGCUGCUGCUUCAGCUGCUGGUGGUCGAGCUGCUGCUGCUGCUGCAGCUGCUGCUGCUGCAGCUGCUGCAGCUGCUGCUUCUGCAGCUGCUGCAGCUGCUGCUGCUGCAGCUGCUGCUGCAGCUGCUGCUUCAGCUGCUGUUGGUGGAAUUGCUGCUGCUGGGGAGCCACACCAAAUACGAUACAUACGCUGCUGCUGCAGAUGCAGCAGCAGCAGCAGCAGGAGCAGCAGCAGCAGCAGCAGGAGCAGCAGCAGCAGGAGCAGCAGCAGCACAC